GCCUGGCCUCUGCUGGCCAGAGCCACCGCUCCAGCAUACCCAAACCAAACUUGUUCAAAACAAAACCAAACCACCAAUUAAUUCAUAUCCUAUCCAAACUACUGGCCUGAAAGUUGUAUCAUUACUUUGUAUUCCACUCUUACUAGCAAGACUAACAAAUGAAAUAAGAAAUCCUUAAAUCUGAUUAACUGAAAAUAACACUGUAAAUCUUUGUGUACUAGUUAAAUGAAAGUUCUGAAGGCAGAAGACGUGGGAGGAGUGCACUGAGGCAGGAUGGACAGAACAGUACCAUAGCCCGUGGGUUAGAAGCUCAAGCUUUAGAUAACAGUUUGUUCUUCAUUGGAAAUUCUAAAUGUAAAGUCUGGUAAGCCAACUGGUAGCAGGGCUGCAGAACAGCUGGGCCCUGGGAUUUGGACACGUCUGGCCCUAUCAGGUGCCACCGGCAGCACAGGGACAUCAGCCCCAAUACUGACCACGGGUUCCUUAAGAUCUGCUGCAAAUGAGGGUAAGAGAACCCCAGUGCAGAUUUCCUUCUGCAAUCCAGCCCUUCCCUGAGGAUCAUUUGUUGUUUAUUGCAAGAAAAACCUAAAAAAGAACCCAGCACAGUUCUGUUGAGAUUAAUGCUUCCACUAGGACCUUAAAAAACAGCUUAUUGAGUGCCUGUGUAGUUGACAAGGGAGAACAUAUGGUGUGCCCAGGAGUGCUGUGUAGCCCAAAGAAAGGAAACCAUCUGCAGCUCUGAGCCUGCGCUUGCCUGAUCAGAAUUCCCUCACACGCACACAAGUGAACCCACACAUGGAACUCACCUCUGGGAGAAAAGGAAAGAUGCAAACAACCACGGAAUAUGGAAUUUACAUGCCAACAUAAAAGCCUCGCACUCCCAAGCCUCUCCUGUGCUUCCCAGUAGCCAAAAAGAAAAAGGAAGAGUGCAAACAGUUAAAGACCUGGUGCUUCAUAACACGCCGGGGGGACAGUUCCUACUCUUACCUAUUUGAACCACAGCUGUCUAAACUCACUGCUCGUCCACUUGGUGUGUUCACAUGGAAGCAACUGACAGUGCCCACCGGGAGGACGUGAGCCCAUCUCCGUGCCGGUUGGUUACACUACGUCCCGGGGCUACCGAGUAUCACCCUGUGCAGCGACAGUUUCACCCAUUAGUAUGGAGCCAGCUAUACACACUGCAUAUGUACAGGUAUUUUCAUAAGGCAUAUAAUAUCUUUGCAUUGAAAAUAAAUGAACGUUAUUAAAUUUAAUUUAAUAUAUACUUUCUUUGAGGUGUUUAUGAAAAU
ensembl:lncRNA